rfam:Haemonchus placei strain MHpl1 genome assembly, scaffold: HPLM_contig0008607
GGCACAAACUCGUAGUGGAGUAGCUUAGUAGGGUCAGAUGAUCCUUCUAAUCUACUCUACUUCUAAUUUGGGCUC